rnacentral:rRNA from 1 species
UAACGGCGUCGAGCGGAGGACGGGUGAGUAAUGCCUAUGAAAUUGCCCUGAUGUGGGGGAUAACCAUUGGAAACGAUGGCUAAUACCGCAUGAUGCCUACGGGCCAAAGAGGGGGACCUUCGGGCCUCUCGCGUCAGGAUAUGCCUAGGUGGGAUUAGCUAGUUGGUGAGGUAAGGGCUCACCAAGGCGACGAUCCCUAGCUGGGCUGAGAGGAUGAUCAGCCACACUGGAACUGAGACACGGUCCAGACUCCUACGGGAGGCAGCAGUGGGGAAUAUUGCACAAUGGGCGCAAGCCUGAUGCAGCCAUGCCGCGUGUGUGAAGAAGGCCUUCGGGUUGUAAAGCACUUUCAGUCCUGAGGAAGGUAGUGUAGUUAAUAGCUGCAUUAUUUGACGUUAGCGACAGAAGAAGCACCGGCUAACUCCGUGCCAGCAGCCGCGGUAAUACGGAGGGUGCGAGCGUUAAUCGGAAUUACUGGGCGUAAAGCGCAUGCAGGUGGUUUGUUAAGUCAGAUGUGACAGCCCGGGGCUCAACCUCGGAAUUGCAUUUGAAACUGGCAGACUAGAGUACUGUAGAGGGGGGUAGAAUUUCAGGUGUAGCGGUGAAAUGCGUAGAGAUCUGAAGGAAUACCGGUGGCGAAGGCGGCCCCCUGGACAGAUACUGACACUCAGAUGCGAAAGCGUGUGGAGCAAACAGGAUUAGAUACCCUGGUAGUCCACGCCGUAAACGAUGUCUACUUGGACGUUGUGGCCUUGAGCCGUGGCUUUCGGAGCUAACGCGUUAAGUAGACCGCCUGGGGAGUACAGUUCGCAAGAUUAAAACUCAAAUGAAUUGACGGGGGCCCUGCACAAGCGGUUGCAGCAUGUGGCUUAAUUCCAUGCAACGCGUAGGA